rnacentral:lncRNA from 1 species
AGACUAUCAAGAUGAAAUCAGUCUACUACUCCACAAUGGAGUUGCUGAAUGAUAAGCAAUAAUGGAAGGAAACUAUGAAAAUCACACUAGAGUGUCAAUGAAAAUCAUCUACAGUUGAUGGUAUCUAAAAGCGAUAUGACACUUCUGAAAUGGCCUUGUGACAUCAUCUCUGAAUAGAGAAGUUGAAUGAAAUAAGUUUGCAAGCACAUUCUGUAAGAACUUCUCCAGAGACAUGGGCUUUAGGUAUGUCUGCCCAGGAGUGCCAGUUACCAGUAAGAGUUUCAGUUCAUGUUUAUUCUGCAAAACUGGGUGAAGAAAAGUUCAUUUAUCAGAAAUACUUUCUCCAUAGAAGGUCUAAACUUUCGACCAGACUGAAGUCUAUUCAUGUAAUCAACUGUCUUUAAUAUUCAAUGUUCUUACUACAACAGCUGGGCAGGAUUGUCUUUCCCUCCCUGAACAUUUCUUCCCUCUUUGUCAGAAAACAAAUGAAUGUCCUCAGUAUUAUCAGAGUAAG